rnacentral:rRNA from 1 species
UAGUUAAGUUCUUUAAAAUUAAAAAAUUUGGCGGUAUUUUAGUCUAUUCAGAGGAACCUGUUUCUUAAUUGAUAGUCCACGAUGAUUUUUACCUUUUCUUUAAAUUUAUAUAUCGUCGUUUAUAAAAAUUUCAGGAGAAAUGUUAAUUUUUAGGAUUUUAAAUUAGAAAUUAAUUCAGAUCAAGGUGUAGUUGAUGAAUGGGUUGGAAUGGGUUACAUUAUAUUUAUAUGUGGUUCUUGGAUUUAAAAUCUGAGUUAAAUUGGAUUUGAUAGUAAAUGGUUUAUUUUUGAUAGUUGAUUUAGCUCUAAAAUAUGCACACAUCGCC